AAUCUGGUCCUGUGCGACGCAGUGCUGUGAACCAUGUCAGGCGGGGAACCGAGCAGCAUUAAGCAGCAUUUGCGGGUGCCGCAGCCAACCGGGUUUCC
rnacentral:SRP_RNA from 1 species